rnacentral:rRNA from 1 species
AGAUUGAACGCUGGCGGCAUGCUUUACACAUGCAAGUCGAACGGUAACAGGCCGCAAGGUGCUGACGAGUGGCGAACGGGUGAGUAAUGCAUCGGAACGUGCCCAGUCGUGGGGGAUAACGCAGCGAAAGCUGUGCUAAUACCGCAUACGAUCUAUGGAUGAAAGCGGGGGACCGAAAGGCCUCGCGCGAUUGGAGCGGCCGAUGUCAGAUUAGCUAGUUGGUGGGGUAAAGGCCCACCAAGGCGACGAUCUGUAGCUGGUCUGAGAGGACGACCAGCCACACUGGAACUGAGACACGGUCCAGACUCCUACGGGAGCAGC